CAGUAGCCGCGGUAAUACGAAGGGUGCAAGCGUUAAUCGGAAUUACUGGGCGUAAAGGGUGCGUAGGCGGUUGUUUAAGUCUGUUGUGAAAUCCCCGGGCUCAACCUGGGAAUGGCAAUGGAAACUGGACGGCUAGAGUGUGUCAGAGGAUGGUGGAAUUCCCGGUGUAGCGGUGAAAUGCGUAGAGAUCGGGAUGAACAUCAGUGGCGAAGGCGGCCAUCUGGGACAACACUGACGCUGAAGCACGAAAGCGUGGGGAGCAAACAGGAUUAGAUACCCCCGUAGUCCCUGUCUCUUAUAC
rnacentral:rRNA from 1 species